rnacentral:rRNA from 1 species
UACGGGGGGAGCAAGCGUUGUUCGGAUUUACUGGGCGUAAAGGGCGCGUAGGCGGUCAGCACAAGUCAGUUGUGAAAUCUCCGGGCUUAACUCGGAAAGGUCAACUGAUACUGUGCGACUAGAGUGCAGAAGGGGCAACUGGAAUUCUCGGUGUAGCGGUGAAAUGCGUAGAUAUACGGAGGAACACCUGCGGCGAAGGCGGGUAGCUGGGCCAACACUGACGCUGAAUAGCGAAAGCCAGGGGAGCAAACGGG